GGGUUGUGAGGUUAAGCGACUAAGCGUACACGGUGGAUGCCCUGGCAGUCAGAGGCGAUGAAGGACGUGCUAAUCUGCGAUAAGCGUCGGUAAGGUGAUAUGAACCGUUAUAACCGGCGAUUUCCGAAUGGGGAAACCCAGUGUGUUUCGACACACUAUCAUUAACUGAAUCCAUAGGUUAAUGAGGCGAACCGGGGGAACUGAAACAUCUAAGUACCCCGAGGAAAAGAAAUCAACCGAGAUUCCCCCAGUAGCGGCGAGCGAACGGGGAGCAGCCCAGAGCCUGAAUCAGUGUGUGUGUUAGUGGAAGCGUCUGGAAAGGCGUGCGAUACAGGGUGACAGCCCCGUACACAAAAAUGCACAUGCUGUGAGCUCGAUGAGUAGGGCGGGACACGUGGUAUCCUGUCUGAAUAUGGGGGGACCAUCCUCCAAGGCUAAAUACUCCUGACUGACCGAUAGUGAACCAGUACCGUGAGGGAAAGGCGAAAAGAACCCCGGCGAGGGGAGUGAAAAAGAACCUGAAACCGUGUACGUACAAGCAGUGGGAGCACGCUUAGGCGUGUGACUGCGUACCUUUUGUAUAAUGGGUCAGCGACUUAUAUUCUGUAGCAAGGUUAACCGAAUAGGGGAGCCGAAGGGAAACCGAGUCUUAACUGGGCGUUAAGUUGCAGGGUAUAGACCCGAAACCCGGUGAUCUAGCCAUGGGCAGGUUGAAGGUUGGGUAACACUAACUGGAGGACCGAACCGACUAAUGUUGAAAAAUUAGCGGAUGACUUGUGGCUGGGGGUGAAAGGCCAAUCAAACCGGGAGAUAGCUGGUUCUCCCCGAAAGCUAUUUAGGUAGCGCCUCGUGAAUUCAUCUCCGGGGGUAGAGCACUGUUUCGGCAAGGGGGUCAUCCCGACUUACCAACCCGAUGCAAACUGCGAAUACCGGAGAAUGUUAUCACGGGAGACACACGGCGGGUGCUAACGUCCGUCGUGAAGAGGGAAACAACCCAGACCGCCAGCUAAGGUCCCAAAGUCAUGGUUAAGUGGGAAACGAUGUGGGAAGGCCCAGACAGCCAGGAUGUUGGCUUAGAAGCAGCCAUCAUUUAAAGAAAGCGUAAUAGCUCACUGGUCGAGUCGGCCUGCGCGGAAGAUGUAACGGGGCUAAACCAUGCACCGAAGCUGCGGCAGCGACGCUGAUGCGUUGUUGGGUAGGGGAGCGUUCUGUAAGCCUGCGAAGGUGUGCUGUGAGGCAUGCUGGAGGUAUCAGAAGUGCGAAUGCUGACAUAAGUAACGAUAAAGCGGGUGAAAAGCCCGCUCGCCGGA
rnacentral:rRNA from 1 species